ACUGAGCUAACUGCCUCUAGUGGAAAAGGCAGGAGAGAUGAAGCUAGGCUCUCAUUAUUUACUGCUGAUUAGCCCAGCAACUAGAAACACAAAGAGGAACAAGGUGAACUGGAUGCCAGCUACGAAAGAUAUAAGUACUGUAUAAAAGUCUCUUUACUGGAACAGACUCUUUUCUAGCCGGAGACAUUGAAAUUUUUUCUCUAAUAUUUUGAAAUUAGAACUAACUCCCUCAAUGGACUCUGUUAUCCAUGUCUCUUGGGCACAGCUGUGAGAACUUUAGAGAUUACCCAUAAGUUGGUGUUUCUAGAUUCUUGUCUACCAGAGUAAGCUCUAUCCAGUUUCUAAGGCCAGUACUGAAGUAUUUAAAUCCUCCCCAAUUUAAUUCUAAGGAUUUCAACAUUGCCACCUUCUACUCAUCAGCUACGUUUAACUUGAGACAAGAAUUAAGGUUGUUGCAGACCCAUACUGAUUCGUCGCUGGUGACUUGGAUACUCUCCACCACUUACUGUCAUGCGCGUCCAUGUGAAGAGACCACCAAACAAGCUUUGUGUGAGUAAUAAAGCUUUUUAAUCACCUGGGUGCAGGAAGGCUGAGUCCAAAAAGAGAGUCAGCGAAGGGAGUUAGGGGUUGGGCCGUUUUAUAGGAUUUGGGUAGGUAGUGGAAAUUUAUAGUCAAAGGGGGUUGUUCUCUGGCGGGCAGGGGCGGGGCUCACAAGGUGCUCAGUUGGGG
rnacentral:lncRNA from 1 species